AAGUUUCUAAGUCAAUUAUAGUACUUUUGAUUGUUGAGUUUUUUUAGUCAUUAUUCUUUCUUUGUCUCUAAAAAAAUCAGGUUUCCUUUAUGUUUAAAUAUCUUCUAUUUUCUGUUUGGCAAUAUAUUCUUUUGAUAUACAAUAUAGGCUUUACCUUUUGGUGCUUAUCUUACAUGCAUCCCAUGUUCUAGGAUUGUGCCCUGUAUUGUGCCUUUUCUAAGAAAAUGUUUUACCUAUAAAAAUACAAAGUAGCAUACAAUGUAUACUUCUUUUUAGGGGGAUGUCUUCAUUUUCAUUUGUUGGCUAAUGUGUGUCCUCUGUCAUCGUCUCUUGCUCAGCUUCCUCCCAAUGCAGGUACAUCAAUUAUUGAUGGCUUGAAGAGAUUGUACAUUGAAAAGCCAAAGCCACUAGAAGUUGCAUAUAUUUUAUUUGGCUAGUUCCAUAUUAAUCUUUUAAACUAGAGGCUGUGGAUUGCAAAAUGGAGAUAUUUAGAUCUUUCUAGUUUUGCUGUCAAGUGUACACUCUAGAUUUUAAGGCCUCUAUAGCAGAGGAUUGAUUUUUAUUUGCAUUUUUGCAGACAAAAAGUGAUUUUGAUGCUAAACCCAUGGUCUUUUGGGUCAAUAUUCAACUGGAAAGACAAAUUUUAUAAAACAUUUGCUAAAAAUGAACUACCCAGGUGCUCACAUUGGACCAGAGCCUACAACAGAUAGAUUUGUUGUUGUUAUGAAUUUUUGGUCAUGGAAUCUUGCAUAGGUAAUUUCCUCUGAAACCUUUUGUUGCCAUAUAGGAAAAUUCCUCUCAUUUGCUCUCACAGUGUUUCUUAUUAGUUAGUUCUAUACAACUUAUAACCGUUUUAUCUUCCUUUGUUUGUUUUUGUCUUCUCCAUUUUCUUCUUGUGUUUCUUAAUAUGCUGUGUGAUUCCAUGGUAGUUGGCAUGGUCAUCUGUGGGUCCUUGUGAACGUUUUUUAGUUUUAAUUGACCAUACUUGACAAGUAUCCUUUAGUAUAUAUAUAAAAAGAUUACAAUAUGAAAAUAAUACUUGAACUAAAUGGGUGAUCUAGUCAUCUUUGGUUCCCUGCGAACAUUGUUUAGUUAGUUAGAUGAUUUGUUAAGCAUUAGCCGAUAGGAUUUAGACACUUGUCAACCAUCUAGAGGCUACCAAUGCCAAACAACUAGUAUAAGUAGUAGAAUGUAAGCUCUUUGUAAAUCAGUUUUGGUAAUUGAAUGAAUUGUUAGCCUUUGUGUGUUAUUUGGAACUAAGUGUUCUUGCAGAGGUACUUGUCCACCUAUCAAUGUGUUCUAAGUAACUCAGCCCUUUCAUUGCUUCUAAACCAUACACAAAUAGCCCAUCACAUUCCCUACAUCAAGAACGAACAAAAACACUUGGGACUUUUGGUGAUCUGUUAUCUGAGCAGUUUGUUCGACAUGGUGGCAUACCCUUGCCAAUAUUUUCUGAGUGGUGGCUAGCCAAAGAAAAGUUCUCUUUCAUUGAUUCUCUCUUCAUUUCCUGGUGCAACAUUCCAAGGAUGCAAUGGAUUGAGUGUGAAAUAUCAGAGCAUUGGUUACUUCCUCUAAACACUUGGCCUUGAACUGUUGCCUUCUCACAAAUUGACUCCUGUCACAGUUAAAGAGUGGUGGAGAAGUAUUAAAAUUCUCUAGUGUGAUACUUCUAGUUUUUUAGAACCUCUCUUGAGACCCUCCUCAGAAACUGUUGCUCUUGAUCCUGCUGAAGACAUAGAUGUGAAAACAGAAAGAAAUAGGGUACUUUCAGGCUAAAUUGAUAAUGCCAUCAUCUACUUGCGUAAUCUUCAGAAGGAGAAUGUUUUGGAUUUUUAGGAACAAAUGGAGCUGGGAAAACCACAACACUUUCAAAGCUGUCUGGAGAAGAAUCCCCAACUGAUGGAACUGCUUUUAUUUUUGGCAAAGAUAUAUAUGUUCCAAUCCCAGGGCUGCUUGUUGGCGUAUUGGGUAUUGCCCCUAAUUUGAUGCUCUAUUAGAAUUUUUGACUGUUUGAGAGCAUCUUGAGCUUUAGGCAAGAAUAAAAGGACUUCCAGAGUACAGGAUAGAUGAUGUAUGUAUUUUAGGUCAAACCUUAUAGUUCAUUUUACUCAUUAAGCUAAUGGUUAAAUCAGAAUCUGGUCUGCUCUUUGUAGCCACAACCAACUUAGAAUUUCUUCAUGUUUGAUUCGCUGGGAUUUGAUUGUGCAUCAAUGAAAUGUUUUUGUUCUGGGCUCAUUUUCCUCAGUUUCAGAUUGAGUGUAUUAGUUAGACAAUCUGGUUGGUUCUGUGUGUGUAUGAGAGAGAGAGAGAGAGAGAGAGAGAGAGAGAGAGAGAGAGAGAGAGAGA